rnacentral:rRNA from 1 species
UACGAAGGGGGCGAGCGUUGUUCGGAAUUACUGGGCGUAAAGGGUGCGUAGGCGGGUUUUUAAGUCAGGGGUGAAAUCCUGGAGCUCAACUCCAGAACUGCCUUUGAUACUGAAGAUCUUGAGUCCGGGAGAGGUGAGUGGAACUGCGAGUGUAGAGGUGAAAUUCGUAGAUAUUCGCAAGAACACCAGUGGCGAAGGCGGCUCACUGGCCCGGUACUGACGCUGAGGCACGAAAGCGUGGGGAGCAAACAGG